AACGUAGGAGACAAACGUUAUCCGGAGUUACUGGGCGUAAAGGGCGUGUAGGUGGUUGCGUAAGUCUGGCGUGAAAUUUUUCGGCUUAACCGGGAAAGGUCGUCGGAUACUGCGUAGCUAGAGGACGGUAGAGGCGUGUGGAAUUCCGGGUGUAGCGGUGGAAUGCGCAGAUAUCAGGAGGAACACCCAUAGCGAAGGCAGCUUGCUGGGACGAUACUGACGCUAAGGCUCGAAAGCGUGGGGAGCGAACAGG
rnacentral:rRNA from 1 species